AUACCUUUCUCGGCCUUUUGGCUAAGAUCAAGUGUAGUAUCUGUUCUUAUUAGUUUAAUAUCUGAUAUAUGGGCCAUUGGUCCACACGAUAUUAACUCUAUUUUUUGAGGGGGAAGGCUCAUCAAGGUAGCUUUCUACCUGGGCCUUCGUGUGUCGCCUAAGCAUCACACUACUGCUAUGCAGUGGCGGACCCAGG
rfam:Capsicum annuum cultivar Zunla-1 unplaced genomic scaffold scaffold258, whole genome shotgun sequence